rnacentral:rRNA from 1 species
CUAGCUGGUCUGAGAGGAUGACCAGCCACACUGGAACUGAGACACGGUCCAGACUCCUACGGGAGGCAGCAGUGGGGAAUAUUGCACAAUGGGCGCAAGCCUGAUGCAGCCAUGCCGCGUGUAUGAAGAAGGCCUUCGGGUUGUAAAGUACUUUCAGCGGGGAGGAAGGGAGUAAAGUUAAUACCUUUGCUCAUUGACGUUACCCGCAGAAGAAGCACCGGCUAACUCCGUGCCAGCAGCCGCGGUAAUACGGAGGGUGCAAGCGUUAAUCGG